GACUGGUAGGUGUCACUGACAGCACCACACAAAGAGAGGGUGACGGUCCUUGACAUCUGGAGAAGGCAGAUUAUGUCUAUAUAACUUAGGAGACAAGACUUCACAGGAUUCCGUCUUCCGUGUUCCUUCUCAGCUUCCUCAAGAAAACACGGAAAUACACUGCGAUACAUUGGUUGCUGUUAGGUCACAACAGACGAGCUGCCAGAUACAGCCUAAAUGUGACUCGCACUGAGUCACUGGAGUCACCAAGUGUGAACCAGCUUUGAGCUUUCGGUCCUAAUUGUCACAUCUCAAAGAAACCAAAGGCUAGUCUCACUCAGCACCUGUGGAAGCAGUUAUAGAAGAGAUUUUGGUUCCUUAUCAUCAACAAAAGGCUGGAAUACAAGAAAAGAAUUCACUGUUCUAAGAAGAUAAGAAGAUCUUUCUCUACUACAGCUGACCACACGGUGGAGGAAGGUUCAGGAAAGGCCAGGCCACUUCUCUCCUCAUCUUUCUGAAAUGCAAAGAUCUUUUUAAGACGGUCUGCCAUGAUUUGCAUCUUGCCAACUCUGCUCACAACUCAGUUUUCAGUUAGAAGAAAAGCCAAAUUCAGCACACAGUCACGGACACACUGUUCCCAUUGGCAAGAGAGUAACUCGGGCCUCUUCUAGAGUAAGUACCAACCGCCCAAAGCAAGGCAGCACUACCCACCCGUUAUGUCUCACCAGGGGAUGGUUAUUGCAGUGUGAGCCACUUUUUUUUUUAUUGACAAAAGCAAUUUGCCUGAGAGAAAAUAAACGAUGUAAAAAGUAAAACAAAUUAGGAUGUUCCGUAUGCAUAGGAAGUAUUCUAAGAACUGCUCACUGAAUCCUCAUGCACAGUGUUUAUGUGGCGAGUUCAUGCUAUGUACUUUCAUAUAUUGUCUUUUCAUUUCCUGUUUCUGAAGGUAACACCAGAAUCUGGGUUAUUUUCUGUAGCAGGAAAAAAAAUCAUACACAGGUGAAAUUAUUUAUUUUCUUUGUGGAAAAGCUGGUAAAUCUUGUACCUUCCCUAUUAUUACAGAGUUAACUCCCAGGUUCAUUAACACUCUCGGCCACCAAAAUGAACUCAACUCUGGUUCAGAGUAAAUAAAAGCCAUUGACUUCCUGCUACCACAUCCUGCACUGUCCAUCUCCCAGAUUCCUUUCAUCCAUCAUUUCGUCUCCCCAUCUCUCUCCCUCCCACUCUGGGUC